rnacentral:rRNA from 1 species
AUGAACGCUAGCUACAGGCUUAACACCUGCAAGUCGAGGGGAAACGGCAUCGAAAGCUUGCUUUUGAUGGGCGUCGACCGGCGCACGGGUGAGUAACGCGUAUCCAACCUGCCCAUCACUUGGGAAUAACCUUGCGAAAGUAAGACUAAUGCCCAAUGACAUCCCACGAAGGCAUCCGAAUGGGAUUAAAGUUUUAUCGGUGAUGGAUGGGGAUGCGUCUGAUUAGCUUGUUGGCGGGGUGACGGCCCACCAAGGCAACGAUCAGGAGGGGUUCUGAGAGGAAGGUCCCCCACAUGGGAACUGAGACACGGUCCAAACUCCUACGGGAGGCAGCAGUGAGGAAUAUUGGUCAAUGGGCGAGAGCCUGAACCAGCCAAGUAGCGUGCAGGAGGACGGCCCUAUGGGUUGUAAACUGCUUUUAUAAGAGAAUAAAGUGGGUCACGUGUGACUUUUUGCAUGUACCUUAUGAAUAAGGACCGGCUAAUUCCGUG